rnacentral:lncRNA from 1 species
CCCAAGGACCUCACACCAUUUGGUAAUAAGGCUAUCAGGAGGAGGAGCUAUAGCCAAUCUAGCAUUCACAUUUCUCUAGUCACCUCCGGUGAAUAACAGCAAUGGAAUUUGGCAGCUACUGGAUGGACAAUUUGGCAAAGCAAAUAGUCUGGGCCAAUCCUGGUGAGAGUCUUUGCACCCCAGCUGGAAAACUUCCCUAGCUCUCAGGAAAUGAGCCAAUGCAUGAAGACUGAGAUCCAGAUUUGAUGUUGCCCGCUGAUGGAUGGUGGCAUAUAUCCUCAAAGUGACGUUCCAACAGUGAAGUGAGAUUUGCAUCUUUGAUCAAUAUCCGUUUUUUUAAUCUCUUGCCUCCUUUGGAAUAGCAGCAGGUGUUUGAAAGAUGUUUCUCUAGAUGUCAGGGUAAAGUUUAUAAGCAUGACAUGUAGGCAUUUGCUAUUGCUAAAUGAAGCCAACUGGUCCAGACAUAACCCACACCUUGGUCUACUUAGUUCCAUGCUUUGGCCAAUAACCAAAUUCAUUUUGUACCAAAUCUCAGGAAACCAUCUGUCCAAAUCAGAGGUUGCUGUACUGUAAACAUCUUCCUGUGAUCUUUGUUGAAAAUAAAAUACCA